CUAAGAAUAUUCCGCAAUGGACGGAAGUCUGACGGAGCGACGCCGCGUGGAUGACGAAGGCCGAAAGGUUGUAAAGUUCUUUUGCUGGGGAAGAAUAACCGCAGGAGGGAAUGCCUGUGGGAUGACAAGAACCGGCGAAUAAGCCCCGGCCAACUACGUGCCAGCAGCCGCGGUAACACGUAGGGGGCGAGCGUUGUUCGGAAUUACUGGGCGUAAAGGGCAUGUAGGCGGCUUGGAAAGCCUGGCGUGAAAGUCUGCAGCUUAACUGCAGGGGUGCGCUGGGAACUGCUGAACUUGAGUGACGGAGAGGGCGCUGGAAUUCCUGGUGUAGGGGUGAAAUCUGUAGAUAUCAGGAAGAACACCGAUGGCGAAGGCAAGCUCCUGGCCGAUGACUGACGCUGAGGUGCGAAAGUGUGGGGAUCAAACA
rnacentral:rRNA from 1 species